UGGAGCAGCUACAAUUAGAAGAACAAAGUUCAAGAAAAGUAUGCCUGCACAAUAAUAGGUAUGCAUCUUUUUCUAAACAGAAAGAAACCCUAAAACAUUUCAUACUGAUGACUGAAGAAAAAGCCAUACUUAUCUCUUCAGAAGUUCAGAAGCUCAUUGAUAAAGAUCAGGUAGCAGCUACUGCAGCAGAAGAUGAAAACAUAAUGCUAUCAGAAGAAAAUUAUGUUACUAAGACUUUAUUAAAACCACAGAACAUCGCUCUCAGAAAAUGACAUUCUUCUUGACUUGGUAAGCACGAAUGGAGGCAUGAUGAACACUGAUCACUGUGCUACAAAAAUCCUUCCACCAGUGAGAUUUCAUAAAAAAGGAAGAAUAUAUGCUAAGAGUAAAUGCAUUUCCAAAUAACCAACUUGAACAGCCAGAGUUUAUAAAUAAGGUACUUGAGAAUAUUAUACAGACUCAUAAUCUCUGUUUUUAAGUAGCUAGCAAAAAAUCUCUUAGCAUCCAAGAAACGACCACUUUUAUACACCAAAAAAGGUGAAGCUAUUCCGGAAAUUGGCAGUGUUCAGUCUUUCCAAGAGUCUCAUUUAGAACUUUGUGACCACAGAUGUGAAAUUACUAGGUAUCUAUGUACUAAAAAUUUUUAUCAAUAACUGAAGUAAUAGCAACUGUACCUGCAUGCCAAAGCUGCAAAUGCACUUCAGAAAGGAUGGUCAGAACGAUUCGAUUGACUCUACUUCUCAGAGAGGAGAGGUUUCAGGCCUUAAAAAGCCUAGACAGUGUUAAUUACUCACGUAUACAGGAUUUUGUUUUGGUUUAGAUCUUAAAGUCCCACUGACUUUCAACAUGACUUGCAUGCCUAACUCAGGACAGAGCCUUUGGAAAAUUUUCCACUGACUACAGACUCCUGUGGUCUAGCUUAUCCAGGGACCCUAAACCCCAGUUUCCUAGAAGCCUUAUGUGCCUGCUGGGAGUUGUGACCUACAUUAGCAGGACUAGCAAAGUCUCCCGAUGUAGUUUGUCAGCUGCUACUUAAACAGGCUCUAGUCACAGCCCUAAGAGAAAGCAAGAACCAAAAACCGGUCAGACAGAAUAAGAUCAGGGAGAGGUAAGACAACCAAAAUAUGCUACUGCCAUUUUGCAGGUGAGAGACUGAAAAAUCUCUCUCAAAAUAGCACAAUUAAAUGCUUGUAGUUGUGGAAGGCUCAACGUAGGCAUUUCCUCCAUGCUUCAGGU
rnacentral:lncRNA from 1 species